rnacentral:rRNA from 1 species
UUAAGCGACUAAGCGUACACGGUGGAUGCCCUGGCAGUCAGAGGCGAUGAAGGACGUGCUAAUCUGCGAUAAGCGUCGGUGAGGUGAUAUGAACCGUUAUAACCGGCGAUUUCCGAAUGGGGAAACCCAGUGUGUUUCGACACACUAUCAUUAACUGAAUCCAUAGGUUAAUGAGGCGAACCGGGGGAACUGAAACAUCUAAGUACCCCGAGGAAAAGAAAUCAACCGAGAUUCCCCCAGUAGCGGCGAGCGAACGGGGAGGAGCCCAGAGCCUGAAUCAGUGUGUGUAUUAGUGGAAGCGUCUGGAAAGGCGCGCGAUACAGGGUGACAGCCCCGUACACAAAAAUGCACAUGCUGUGAGCUCGAUGAGUAGGGCGGGACACGUGGUAUCCUGUCUGAAUAUGGGGGGACCAUCCUCCAAGGCUAAAUACUCCUGACUGACCGAUAGUGAACCAGUACCGUGAGGGAAAGGCGAAAAGAACCCCGGCGAGGGGAGUGAAAAAGAACCUGAAACCGUGUACGUACAAGCAGUGGGAGCCUCUUAAUGGGGUGACUGCGUACCUUUUGUAUAAUGGGUCAGCGACUUAUAUUCUGUAGCAAGGUUAACCGAAUAGGGGAGCCGAAGGGAAAACCGAGUCUUAACUGGGCGUUAAGUUGCAGGGUAUAGACCCGAAACCCGGUGAUCUAGCCAUGGGCAGGUUGAAGGUUGGGUAACACUAACUGGAGGACCGAACCGACUAAUGUUGAAAAAUUAGCGGAUGACUUGUGGCUGGGGGUGAAAGGCCAAUCAAAACCGGGAGAUAGCUGGUUCUCCCCGAAAGCUAUUUAGGUAGCGCCUCGUGAAUUCAUCUCCGGGGGUAGAGCACUGUUUCGGCAAGGGGGUCAUCCCGACUUACCAACCCGAUGCAAACUGCGAAUACCGGAGAAUGUUAUCACGGGAGACACACGGCGGGUGCUAACGUCCGUCGUGAAGAGGGAAACAACCCAGACCGCCAGCUAAGGUCCCAAAGUCAUGGUUAAGUGGGAAACGAUGUGGGAAGGCCCAGACAGCCAGGAUGUUGGCUUAGAAGCAGCCAUCAUUUAAAGAAAGCGUAAUAGCUCACUGGUCGAGUCGGCCUGCGCGGAAGAUGUAACGGGGCUAAACCAUGCACCGAAGCUGCGGCAGCGACACUAUGUGUUGUUGGGUAGGGGAGCGUUCUGUAAGCCUGUGAAGGUGGCCUGUGAGGGUUGCUGGAGGUAUCAGAAGUGCGAAUGCUGACAUAAGUAACGAUAAAGCGGGUGAAAAGCCCGCUCGCCGGAAGACCAAGGGUUCCUGUCCAACGUUAAUCGGGGCAGGGUGAGUCGACCCCUAAGGCGAGGCCGAAAGGCGUAGUCGAUGGGAAACAGGUUAAUAUUCCUGUACUUGGUGUUACUGCGAAGGGGGGACGGAGAAGGCUAUGUUGGCCGGGCGACGGUUGUCCCGGUUUAAGCGUGUAGGCUGGUUUUCCAGGCAAAUCCGGAAAACCAAGGCUGAGGCGUGAUGACGAGGCACUACGGUGCUGAAGUGACAAAUGCCCUGCUUCCAGGAAAAGCCUCUAAGCAUCAGGUAACAUCAAAUCGUACCCCAAACCGACACAGGUGGUCAGGUAGAGAAUACCAAGGCGCUUGAGAGAACUCGGGUGAAGGAACUAGGCAAAAUGGUGCCGUAACUUCGGGAGAAGGCACGCUGAUAUGUAGGUGAAGCGACUUGCUCGUGGAGCUGAAAUCAGUCGAAGAUACCAGCUGGCUGCAACUGUUUAUUAAAAACACAGCACUGUGCAAACACGAAAGUGGACGUAUACGGUGUGACGCCUGCCCGGUGCCGGAAGGUUAAUUGAUGGGGUUAGCGGUAACGCGAAGCUCUUGAUCGAAGCCCCGGUAAACGGCGGCCGUAACUAUAACGGUCCUAAGGUAGCGAAAUUCCUUGUCGGGUAAGUUCCGACCUGCACGAAUGGCGUAAUGAUGGCCAGGCUGUCUCCACCCGAGACUCAGUGAAAUUGAACUCGCUGUGAAGAUGCAGUGUACCCGCGGCAAGACGGAAAGACCCCGUGAACCUUUACUAUAGCUUGACACUGAACAUUGAGCCUUGAUGUGUAGGAUAGGUGGGAGGCUUUGAAGUGUGGACGCCAGUCUGCAUGGAGCCGACCUUGAAAUACCACCCUUUAAUGUUUGAUGUUCUAACGUUGGCCCGUAAUCCGGGUUGCGGACAGUGUCUGGUGGGUAGUUUGACUGGGGCGGUCUCCUCCUAAAGAGUAACGGAGGAGCACGAAGGUUGGCUAAUCCUGGUCGGACAUCAGGAGGUUAGUGCAAUGGCAUAAGCCAGCUUGACUGCGAGCGUGACGGCGCGAGCAGGUGCGAAAGCAGGUCAUAGUGAUCCGGUGGUUCUGAAUGGAAGGGCCAUCGCUCAACGGAUAAAAGGUACUCCGGGAUAACAGGCUGAUACCGCCCAAGAGUUCAUAUCGACGGCGGUGUUUGGCACCUCGAUGUCGGCUCAUCACAUCCUGGGGCUGAAGUAGGUCCCAAGGGUAUGGCUGUUCGCCAUUUAAAGUGGUACGCGAGCUGGGUUUAGAACGUCGUGAGACAGUUCGGUCCCUAUCUGCCGUGGGCGCUGGAGAACUGAGGGGGGCUGCUCCUAGUACGAGAGGACCGGAGUGGACGCAUCACUGGUGUUCGGGUUGUCAUGCCAAUGGCACUGCCCGGUAGCUAAAUGCGGAAGAGAUAAGUGCUGAAAGCAUCUAAGCACGAAACUUGCCCCGAGAUGAGUUCUCCCUGAGACUUAGAGUCUCCUGAAGGAACGUUGAAGACGACGACGUUGAUAGGCCGGGUGUGUAAGCGCAGCGAUGCGUUGAGCUAACCGGUACUAAUGAACCGUGAGGCUUAACCUU